CAGGGCCAAGGGGCCGAUUCAGCUCGUAGUUGAAUUUCUGGCUAUUAAUUAUUUUCUUCGGAUUUUAAAUAAUAGUCAUCCGCUUGAGAAUCAUUUUUGCUCUUUACUGGGUGAUAUGAGUAUCAAGUACUUUACCUUGAAGAAAUUAGAGUGUUUCAGGCAGGUUUUAGCCAUGAAUACACAAGCAUGGAAUAAUGGAAUAGGACUCUUAUCCUUUUUUGUUGGGAGCUGUGAGCUGCACGAGUGCGAGAGACUGACGGUUUGGAUGAUAAGUAAUUUAAAUUGCCAGAGGAAAUCUUGCUUGUUUUUUAAAAAAAAUUAAUUCAUGCGAAAUGUUCC
rnacentral:rRNA from 1 species